rnacentral:rRNA from 1 species
UACGUAGGUCCCGAGCGUUGUCCGGAUUUAUUGGGCGUAAAGCGAGCGCAGGUGGCUUAUUAAGUCUGGUGUAAAAGGCAGUGGCUCAACCAUUGUAUGCAUUGGAAACUGGUAGACUUGAGUGCAGGAGAGGAGAGUGGAAUUCCAUGUGUAGCGAUGAAAUGCGUAGAUAUAUGGAGGAACACCGGUGGCGAAAGCGGCUCUCUGGCCUGUAACUGACACUGAGGCUCGAAAGCGUGGGGAGCAAACAGG